rnacentral:rRNA from 1 species
GACGUAGGAGGCGAGCGUUAUCCGGAUUCACUGGGCGUAAAGCGCAUGUAGGCGGAUGUCUAAGUCGUGUGUUAAAGCCCCUGGCUCAACUGGGGGAGGUCAUGCGAGACUGGAUGACUUGAGGGCAACAGAGGCACGUGGAACUCCCGGUGUAGCGGUGGAAUGCGUAGAUAUCGGGAGGAACACCAGUGGCGAAGGCGACUUCCUGGCCUGUUCUUGACGCUGAGGCGCGAAAGCUAGGGGAGCAAACGGG